UACUGCCUUUUCAGUUUCACAGGAAUUAGGAAAAUUCGAUCGAUAGCGAGGGUUAAUCCUGCAAAACAUGGCCACACUUAGACCAGAAACAAAGAAAAGGAUCAUGGAUGUCGUGAAUGUGGGAAAGCUUACAUUCCAAUUCGGAUUUAUUCCUUUUAUUUUAUAUUUAGGAUUCAAGAAGGGAGCUGAACCCGGGAUGCCGGAGCCUAGUCUGCUGAGUCUACUAUGGGCAUAAUGACUGUUGGAAAGACAUCACAUGAUCUACAUCACUUGACCUUGAUCAUGUUACCUUUCAUCAACCUUGAAAAAGACAUUUGACUGAUUGAUGGAGGAGUCUGUCAGGACAACUUCCAAGUGCUCUGAAUCCCCUGCUCUGUAAAGUGAAGGAAUUUGGAAGCCAUAUGUAGGCUUGCUUGGACAUCACCAACCAUGAGUUUAAAUCAGAAGUCUUCAUUCCAGCUUGCCAUGAGACAUCAUCCAACAGAGCACUGAUGUGUUCACCUGGAGAAGCGUUUCUGGACCUGUAUCACAGCCACUCUGCGCAUAUAAUCUUUAUUUGUUGAGAAACUGAUUAAUUUCCCAGUUUGACUUUUAUCAUCAGUGUUCCUCCAGUAUGACUCUAGAUAGAUUCAUAGUCGGCAUACAUAUUUUAUCUCAUGAAGGAACGUUUUUCUAAUCAGCUCUGCACAUUGCAUGUACUAUUAAAGGGAUGCCAUAUAUGGUUUCGCUUGUAUGUGCAUUUACAAAUACCAGUGUUUAUACUGUAAAAUAAUUUUUCAAAAUUUGAGGAAAUCUUGACUUUCCCAUAACAGGUAAUUUAUGGGAAAUGAUUAAGUCCAGGAAAUUCUUUGAAAUCUAAAAAUCGUAAUGUAGACAAAAUUUGAAAGUAACAAUUUUGAUUUGCCCUAUUCUGGAGCUAAAAUUUAAUACUGAUUUGUUCACACUUUAGGAGGUACAUACAUGUAGGCAAUUUAAGAGGUCUUUAAUUCUUUGAUUCCUAACCAUUAGCAUGCUAGUAGCCUACUUCAGGCUUGCUAUACAUGUAUUCGAAGAUUCCAAAAACUUUAACUGAAUUAAGGUUUGAGGAUUUACAAAAACUUGAGCUGUGGAAAUUGGUAAUUAUUCAAAAGUCAUAACUUUCGAGACGUAAGUCCAAAUUCAAACAACAUUUUUACACCAUAUAAAACACCUUUUCAUGUAGGGAAAGGGUCAACUCAAUAAGUUGUAUCCCUGAUUAUUGGUAUUGCCUGAUAUCUUUAUCAUUAUAUUGUCUAUUUGGGGUGGAUAUCAAGGUCUAUCAAGGUAUAUCAGUGAGUCAGGGGGAGUGUUUCACAAAGAUGUAAACUCUGACUAAAAUUUAUUCUUUAAUUUUUCUACACACAUGAAUGUGAUAUUGGUCAGGGGCCCCGUUUCAUAGAGGACUUGCAACUGUUGUAACUGCCAUUAUUGCAAAUAGUACCAUGGUACAUGUAAUCUUGAUUAUGAUUGGCUGCUGAACCCUGUUACCGUGGUAGUUGCCAGUAUGGCAAAGUUGCAAAAGUUGAAGUUGCCAUUAUGACAAACUACAUGAUGCAGAUGCAUGUGAUUUUAGGGCUCUAGAUUGACUUAAGUCACUCUCAACUCUUUGUGAAACACUCCGCUAUUCAGAUAUAGAAUGCUUCUAAAAGAUGGGUAGAGUGGUCUAACAAUAUAGGAAACACGUUUUCAGUUACUUGUGUGAGAGUAAGCUAAAACUCGAUUUGGAUGUAAUUCUUUCGUUUGGAGCAAAAUUUGCUGCUCAAAUGCAGCUUAUUUCUGUACUGGCAUAUCUGUGAAUAAGACAUCUUUAUAUGGAAAAUGCAGGUAUUUAUCAAAUUGUGAAGAAAUUAUUAUAAAAAAUGUCAAAAUUUACAGUA
rnacentral:lncRNA from 1 species